GAUGAACGCUGGCGGCGUGCCUAAUACAUGCAAGUCGAGCGAACGGACGAGAAGCUUGCUUUCUGAUGUUAGCGGCGGACGGGUGAGUAACACGUGGAUAACCUACCUAUAAGACUGGGAUAACUUCGGGAAACCGGAGCUAAUACCGGAUGAUAUUUUGAACCGCAUGGUUCAAAAGUGAAAGACGGUCUUGCUGUCACUUAUAGAUGGAUCCGCGCUGCAUUAGCUAGUUGGUAAGGUAACGGCUUACCAAGGCAACGAUGCAUAGCCGACCUGAGAGGGUGAUCGGCCACACUGGAACUGAGACACGGUCCAGACUCCUACGGGAGGCAGCAGUAGGGAAUCUUCCGCAAUGGGCGAAAGCCUGACGGAGCAACGCCGCGUGAGUGAUGAAGGUCUUCGGAUCGUAAAACUCUGUUAUUAGGGAAGAACAUAUGUGUAAGUAACUGUGCACAUCUUGACGGUACCUAAUCAGAAAGCCACGGCUAACUACGUG
rnacentral:rRNA from 1 species